rnacentral:rRNA from 1 species
AGGGUUUGAUUCUGGCUCAGGAUGAACGCUGGCGGCGUGCUUAACACAUGCAAGUCGAACGAAGCACUCUAUUUGAUUUUCUUCGGGAAUGAAGAUUUUGUGACUGAGUGGCGGACGGGUGAGUAACGCGUGGGUAACCUGCCUCAUACAGGGGGAUAACAGUUGGAAACGACUGCUAAUACCGCAUAAGCGCACAGGAUCGCAUGGUCCGGUGUGAAAAACUCCGGUGGUAUAAGAUGGACCCGCGUUGGAUUAGCUAGUUGGCAGGGCAGCGGCCUACCAAGGCGACGAUCCAUAGCCGGCCUGAGAGGGUGAACGGCCACAUUGGGACUGAGACACGGCCCAG